rnacentral:misc_RNA from 1 species
AAGUCGUAACAAGGUUUCCGUAGGUGAACCUGCGGAAGGAUCAUUAGCGAGAUUGCCGUGCGCGCCAAACCCGCAAGGUUUGUGCGCGUGCGAGCAAGCGCCAUCCUUGUGUUAUGUGUGUGAUGUCGCGUGUGCCCACACUUCUCUCGGGGGGAGUGAGCACGUGCGCACAUUUUUUUCACCCAUUAUUAUUCGCAUUUUAUUCUAAUCCACUGCUCAUACGAGCACAAACAACCGAAAACUGCCAGCAAUGGAUCACUCGGUUCUC